rnacentral:lncRNA from 1 species
UUCUUGGUGUGAAUGGCCCUUAAUAUAAUAUUCAAAGUUCAAGGACAAUGGUUAAUGUUGUUCCCCAGGGUUUUAUGAAUCUUAGUUAAGAAAGUUUUUUUUUUAAAUGUUUUUUGACACUCAUGGUUAAUUAAUAUAUUUAUUUUUUGUCAUUUAAGGUUGCCGGAAAUGCAGUAGGCAAAAAGUUUUCAAAUACGACUCCAUAACAGGAAGAAGGAUAAAUGAGGUAAGAAAUAUAGUUUUCAUUGGGCUGUCUCAACAUCUCUCCAUUGUCUGUUGCUCAUCUGGCAUUUCACAGAUCACAAAAUACUAAACAUUUAAGCAAGUGGUAAUUUGAGUCCAUUUAAGUUCAAAUGAAAGCCAAGUGGCCUUGCCCCAAAAAUUAUGAAAUUCAAAACCUGAUUAUAUGUUUGUGUCUUUCUGCAGGGGCAAGCAGAAGUAAGGGUGAAAUGGUUACCUUGCUCUGCAUGUGGAAAAAUCUGGGAGGAGACAUGGGAGCCGGCCUGCCAGUUCUCACCAGGUGUCAAGCAUGUGUGACGUCACCCAUUCAUCUACAAUUCAGUAUGAGUUGAAUACCUGCUAUGAGUUGUCGAGUUCGCUGUUACGGCACAGCCAUCCUGUUUGCGCAUGUGAUGAUUUUAGAUAAGAAGGAGGAGCCACGUUACACACUUUCAAUGGUUUCCACCCUAACAUGCUGUCAUGCUGUUUUUUUCUUUAUUACUGAUUCUUGCUAAAAGCUGUGUUCAAAUAAAUCAAAGUGUUACUAUAUUUCUGUUUAUGUCUUUCCAUUCACCUUGUGGGUUAGCCAAUUAACUGAAAUAUUCUUCAACACAUCAAAUUAUAUAUUGCAAUAUGAUGCACCAAAAUAUGUAGGAAGGUGGGACAUGUUUUCAAUCAUAUUAACUGACACCAUGAAGAGACAGUUGAUUCCACCAGCUAAAUCAUACAUUUUCUGUAUAAAGGGUAGCUGAGGUAGGCAGGGGUGGAUAAAUGCACAGGCUUACCAAGACCAGAUGUCAAGAGGGUCCAGAAGCCUCUAAAAAUGUGAAAGCAUGGUUUUUUUAAUUCAGGAAAGUUUCUAAAGGCUUUUUAAAAAAAUGCUUCUAAAGGCAAGGCACAUGAAACCCUGGCUUCUGCACUAGUGGCCUUUUCCAUUUACUUUGACACACUGAAUGUGUGUGUGCAAGUCUACCCCCGGAUGGGUAGUAAAAAGCAGAAGACAAUACAUUUUUUUUACACUUUUAAUGUUAUUAUUUCAAUCUAUAUGGGCCAGGGAAGCUCGGUUUUUUUGUUGUUUAUUUAUAUUUUUUAAACUAUAACUAUCAAUAUUUAUUUAGAUGUUAUCAUGGUAUUAAUUUCUUUAUUUGCAUAUUAUUUUGGUCUAAUUACCGGAGAAAUAUUACAGUAUGCUGUAAUACAGAAUAUUAUUAUAUGAUCCGAGCUAGACAUAUUCAAAGCCUAUAUUCCACAAUGCAAUGCGGGCAUUCAUUCACAGAAUCGGACAGCGAUCAGCUGGUCUUUAACGCCAGUAUCGCUUCAAUGUACACACACACACACACACACACACACACACACACACACAACGAUAUUAAAACACACACACACACAC